GUGAUGGGGAUGCAAAAAGGACCAGUGAUCUGACGGUCUGCCUCCAUGUGGGCACUGUCCAUCCGUGAGUUUCUGCUCACCGUCUCCAAGCCCCAACCUCUGUUCUUUGCCCUCUGAAUUUCUUCUUUCCACCUGGGCUGUCUUUUGUUCUCUUUCUCCCUGAGGCUAUGACGGUGGCAGGGUGCCCAGCCAGGACAUGGACAUCAGCCAUGGUUCUAGGUUCUCUGCAAGUGUGCGAGUGUGUGUGUAGGGGCUGGGGAUGGGGCUGGAGGUCAUUCACAGAUCAGAGCACAGGAGGCGAGAGAGAGCUUCUGAGGGUAGGACUGCCGGUCCUUCACACCCUACGCCCUGGAGCCCUGAGGACCUGUCACUCGGACCCACCACCAGCCAGAGCAGCAUCAGUCACUGACCAGAGGAGCCCAGAAGCCACAGGAGUGCCCACAUGGCUGGUACAUUGGAGACGCUCUGGAAUAAAUACACCUGGGCCUUUGAAAACGGAGUCCUUGGUUCAUGUCCAGAUGGAAGCCUCUGAGGUUGGCAGGACCCCUCGCUGCCUACAACCCGGGCCUGGUAGCUCUCUCAGGGUAUCUAUUCUGUGA
rnacentral:lncRNA from 1 species